CAUUACAAGAACGCCCGGGCUUCGGCCUGGUUAUUCAUAACCCUUUGUUGUCCGACUCUGUUGCCUCCGGGGCGACCCUGCCUUCGGGCGGGGGCUCCGGGUGGACACUUCAAACUCUUGCGUAACUUUGCAGUCUGAGUAAACUUAAUUAAUAAAUUAAAACUUUUAACAACGGAUCUCUUGGUUCUGGCAUCGAUGAAGAACGCAGCGAAAUGCGAUAAGUAAUGUGAAUUGCAGAAUUCAGUGAAUCAUCGAAUCUUUGAACGCACAUUGCGCCCCCUGGUAUUCCGGGGGGCAUGCCUGUUCGAGCGUCAUUUCACCACUCAAGCCUCGCUUGGUAUUGGGCAACGCGGUCCGCCGCGUGCCUCAAAUCGUCCGGCUGGGUCUUCUGUCCCCUAAGCGUUGUGGAAACUAUUCGCUAAAGGGUGUUCGGGAGGCUACGCCGUAAAACAACCCCAUUUCUAAGGUUGAC
rnacentral:rRNA from 1 species